UNGAUAGCAAUGCCUCCAAAGACAGCACGG
rnacentral:piRNA from 1 species